UACGUGGUGAUGCAGAAUUUAAGGAAGUCGGCGGAAAAUCUCUAGACUGAGGAACUCGAACUACAUAGAAGGCUAGGUACUGGAUGAGGUUUCCAUACGCAAAUCAAAGGCUGUACAAAGUAAAUGAAGCAGAUAGAUGGAGAGGAAGAAUAUGUG
rnacentral:ncRNA from 1 species